AGUGAACGCUGGCGGUAGGCCUAACACAUGCAAGUCGAACGGCAGCACAGUAAGAGCUUGCUCUUACGGGUGGCGAGUGGCGGACGGGUGAGGAAUACAUCGGAAUCUACUUUUUCGUGGGGGAUAACGUAGGGAAACUUACGCUAAUACCGCAUACGACCUACGGGUGAAAGCAGGGGAUCUUCGGACCUUGCGCGAUUGAAUGAGCCGAUGUCGGAUUAGCUAGUUGGCGGGGUAAAGGCCCACCAAGGCGACGAUCCGUAGCUGGUCUGAGAGGAUGAUCAGCCACACUGGAACUGAGACACGGUCCAGACUCCUAAGGGAGGCAGCAGUGGGGAAUAUUGGACAAUGGGCGCAAGCCUGAUCCAGCCAUACCGCGUGGGUGAAGAAGGCCUUCGGGUUGUAAAGCCCUUUUGUCGGGAAAGAAAAGCAGCAGGUUAAUACCCCGCUGUUCUGACGGUACCCAAAGAAUAAGCACCGGCUAACUUCGUG
rnacentral:rRNA from 1 species